CUGAAGACUCGACUACCAGUACAGUGAGUCUGGGAAUCGAAUAUGGCUGCAUGGGAAGUUCAGCUUUUUUGUUUCUACGUGGUCCCACACUUUGCACGUGCACUUCUUGAAGUUGUGCAUCAUAGGCGCGCAGACUUUGUAUAGUAGAGGGAAGGGAUUGGAAACAUCUCAGGUGACCAAUGUAUUUCCCUAGAGAAUUCUGACACCAUGCGUGUUGCAUUCCGCAAGUAUUGAUUGCGAUUGAUUGCGAGACAGCUGCAAAGACAAAAGAGAAGAAACUGAAGAAAACUCCAGGUACUCAGAACAUCUGAGGAUCUGCCAAGACCCUUUGGAAAAGUUUGGCAUGCCAAUGACAGAGGGAAGGGACACUGUUAUUCAUUACGAUUGGUCGUGCAAAAGCUGUGUAGUGACCAGAUGACGGAAAUACACCACUACCUAAAUGUCGUCAGACUUACAAAAUUAUGUUUUAUGUUUGUAAACAUCAUCAUUUCUCCAUGCAUCCUUUGUGAUUGUGUGUAUCAUAAUGUUAAGAAAUAUAAGUAUGCAUUCUAUAA